rnacentral:tRNA from 1 species
GCCUGGGUGGCUCAGUCGGUUGAGCGUCCGACUUCGGCUCAGGUCAUGAUCUCGCGGUUCGUGAGUUCGAGCCCCACAUCGGGCU